rnacentral:lncRNA from 1 species
AACCAAACAAAACAUAUAUUUAAGAAAAAAUUUUAAAUACCGUCUUUUAGUACUAUAUGAUUUAAAAUUUAUCACUUUUGUGCUCUAUGGCUUUAUUUUUCUCUUUUUGUUAUUUUCUCUACUAAUUUUUUUUUGUUAAAUCAGUAACAAAGUUAAAACAAAAGAGUACUAAAGUGAAUAUUGGAUGAACCAUAUAUGGAAUAUAUCUGAAAUUUUUUGCAUAUGAGUUAACGAA